rnacentral:rRNA from 1 species
CCUACGGGCGGCAGCAGCUAAGAAUAUUCCGCAAUGGACGAAAGUCUGACGGAGCGACGCCGCGUGGAUGAUGAAGGCCGAAAGGUUGUAAAAUCCUUUUGUCGAUGAAGAAUAAGCAUGGGAGGGAAUGCCCGUGUGAUGACGUUAGUCGGCGAAUAAGCCCCGGCUAAUUACGUGCCAGCAGCCGCGGUAACACGUAAGGGGCGAGCGUUGUUCGGAAUUAUUGGGCGUAAAGGGCGCGUAGGCGGUCCUGUAAGCCCGGCGUGAAAACCUGGAGCUC